UUUGACCUCGGAUCAGGUAGGGAUACCCGCUGAACUUAAGCAUAUCAAUAAGCGGAGGAAAAGAAACCAACAGGG
rnacentral:rRNA from 1 species